rnacentral:snRNA from 1 species
GGAUGUGAGGGUGAUCUGGCUGCGACAUCUGUCACUCCAUUGAUCGCCAGGGUUGAUUCGGUUGAUCUGGCUGGCUAGGUGGGUGUCUCCUUCCUCCCUCACUGCUCCAUGUGCAUCCCUCCUGAAGCUGCGCGCUCAGUCGAAGAGGACAGCCUUCCCCGAAUAGAGACAGACCGGUCUUCGGUCAAGGGUAUAUGAGUAGCUGCGCUCCCUUGAAAGAACCUACAAACAAGCUCUCAAAAACCACAUGAUUAUCUCAAUAGAUGCAGAGAAAGCCUUUGACAAAAUCCAACACCCAUU